rnacentral:rRNA from 1 species
UACGGAGGGAGCUAGCGUUGUUCGGAAUUACUGGGCGUAAAGCGCGCGUAGGCGGCUUUGUAAGUUAGAGGUGAAAGCCCGGGGCUCAACUCCAGAACUGCCUUUGAUACUGAAGAUCUUGAGUUCGGGAGAGGUGAGUGGAACUGCGAGUGUAGAGGUGAAAUUCGUAGAUAUUCGCAAGAACACCAGUGGCGAAGGCGGCUCACUGGCCCGAUACUGACGCUGAGGCACGAAAGCGUGGGGAGCAAACAGG